rnacentral:rRNA from 1 species
AUUGAACGCUGGCGGCAUGCCUUACACAUGCAAGUCGAACGGCAGCACGGGAGCAAUCCUGGUGGCGAGUGGCGAACGGGUGAGUAAAGCAUCGGAACGUACCUGGUAGUGGGGGAUAGCCCGGCGAAAGCCGGAUUAAUACCGCAUACGACCUGAGGGUGAAAGCGGGGGAUCGCAAGACCUCGCGCUAUUGGAGCGGCCGAUGUCAGAUGUGCUAGUUGGUGGGGUAAAGGCCUACCAAGGCGACGAUCGGUGGCUGGUCUGAGAGGACGCCCAGCCACACUGGGACGGAGCCACGGCACAGCCCCCGACGGGAGGAAGGAGGGGGGAAUUUUGGACAAGGGGCGAAAGCCUGAUCCAGCCAUGCCGCGUGGGGGAAGAAGGCUUUCGGGUUGUAAACCGUUUUUGUCGGGGAAGAAAUCUUUUGGGUUAAUACCUCGGGAGGAUGACGGUACCUGAAGAAUAAGCACCGGCUAACUACGUGCCAGCCGCCGCCGUAA